rnacentral:rRNA from 1 species
CGACUCUCGGCAACGGAUAUCUCGGCUCACGCAUCGGUGAAGAACGUAGCAAAAUGCGAUACUUGGUGUGAAUUGCAGAAUCCCGUGAACCAUCGAGUUUUUGAACGCAAGUUGCGCCCGAAGCCAUUCGGUUGAGGGCACGUCUGCCUGGGCGUCACG